rnacentral:rRNA from 1 species
AUACGGAGGGUGCAAGCGUUACUCGGAAUCACUGGGCGUAAAGCGCGCGCAGGCGGCUAUUUAAGUUGGAUGUGAAAGCCUACGGCUCAACCGUAGAACUGCAUCCAAAACUAUUAGACUAGAGUGUGGGAGAGGAAGAUGGAAUUAGUUGUGUAGGGGUAAAAUCCGUAGAGAUAACUAGGAAUACCAAAAGCGAAGGCAAUCUUCUGGAACACUACUGACGCUGAGGCGCGAAAGCGUGGGGAGCAAACAGGAUUAGAAACCCUAGUAGUCC